rnacentral:misc_RNA from 1 species
GAUGAAGAACGUAGCGAAAUGCGAUAAGUAGUGUGAAUUGCAGAAUUCAGUGAAUCAUCGAAUCUUUGAACGCACAUUGCGCCCCUUGGUAUUCCAUGGGGCAUGCCUGUUCGAGCGUCAUUUGUACCUUCAAGCUUUGCUUGGUGUUGGGUGUUUGUCUCGCCGUUGCGUGUAGACUCGCCUUAAAAUAAUUGGCAGCCGGCGUAUUGAUUUCGGAGCGCAGUACAUCUCGCGCUUUGCACUCAUAACGACAGCGUCCAAAAGUACAUUUUACACUCUUGACCUCGGAUCAGGUAGGGAUACCCGCUGAACUUAAGCAUAUCAAUAAGCGGAGGA